AACGAACGCUGGCGGCAGGCCUAACACAUGCAAGUCGAACGCUCCGCAAGGAGAGUGGCAGACGGGUGAGUAACACGUGGGAAUCUUCCUAUUGGUUCGGAAUAGCUCAGGGAAACUUGGGGUAAUACCGGAUAAGUCCGAAAGGGGAAAGAUUUAUCGCCGAUAGAUGGGCCCGCGUCUGAUUAGCUGGUUGGUGAGGUAAUGGCUCACCAAGGCGACGAUCAGUAGCUGGUCUGAGAGGAUGACCAGCCACACUGGGACUGAGACACGGCCCAGACUCCUACGGGAGGCAGCAGUGGGGAAUAUUGGACAAUGGGCGCAAGCCUGAUCCAGCCAUGCCGCGUGAGUGACGAAGGUCUUCGGAUUGUAAAGCUCUUUUGCCAGGGACGAUAAUGACGGUACCUGGAGAAUAAGCCCCGGCUAACUUCGUGCCAGCAGCCGCCGUAAUAC
rnacentral:rRNA from 1 species